UUAAGCGACUAAGCGUACACGGUGGAUGCCCUGGCAGUCAGAGGCGAUGAAGGACGUGCUAAUCUGCGAAAAGCGUCGGUAAGGUGAUAUGAACCGUUAUAACCGGCGAUGUCCGAAUGGGGAAACCCAGUGCAAUUCGUUGCACUAUCGUUAACUGAAUACAUAGGUUAACGAGGCGAACCGGGGGAACUGAAACAUCUAAGUACCCCGAGGAAAAGAAAUCAACCGAGAUUCCCCCAGUAGCGGCGAGCGAACGGGGAGCAGCCCAGAGUCUGAAUCAGCUUGUGUGUUAGUGGAACGGUCUGGAAAGUCCGACGGUACAGGGUGAUAGUCCCGUACACCAAAAUGCACAGGCUGUGAACUCGAAGAGUAGGGCGGGACACGUGGUAUCCUGUCUGAAUAUGGGGGGACCAUCCUCCAAGGCUAAAUACUCCUGACUGACCGAUAGUGAACCAGUACCGUGAGGGAAAGGCGAAAAGAACCCCGGCGAGGGGAGUGAAAAAGAACCUGAAACCGUGUACGUACAAGCAGUGGGAGCACCUUCGGGUGUGACUGCGUACCUUUUGUAUAAUGGGUCAGCGACUUAUAUUCUGUAGCAAGGUUAACCGUAUAGGGGAGCCGCAGGGAAACCGAGUCUUAACUGGGCGUUAAGUUGCAGGGUAUAGACCCGAAACCCGGUGAUCUAGCCAUGGGCAGGUUGAAGGUUGGGUAACACUAACUGGAGGACCGAACCGACUAAUGUUGAAAAAUUAGCGGAUGACUUGUGGCUGGGGGUGAAAGGCCAAUCAAACCGGGAGAUAGCUGGUUCUCCCCGAAAGCUAUUUAGGUAGCGCCUCGUGAAUUCAUCUUCGGGGGUAGAGCACUGUUUCGGCUAGGGGGUCAUCCCGACUUACCAACCCGAUGCAAACUACGAAUACCGAAGAAUGUUAUCACGGGAGACACACGGCGGGUGCUAACGUCCGUCGUGAAGAGGGAAACAACCCAGACCGCCAGCUAAGGUCCCAAAGUCAUGGUUAAGUGGGAAACGAUGUGGGAAGGCACAGACAGCCAGGAUGUUGGCUUAGAAGCAGCCAUCAUUUAAAGAAAGCGUAAUAGCUCACUGGUCGAGUCGGCCUGCGCGGAAGAUGUAACGGGGCUAAACCAUGCACCGAAGCUGCGGCAGCGACACUAUGUGUUGUUGGGUAGGGGAGCGUUCUGUAAGCCUGCGAAGGUGUGCUGUGAGGCAUGCUGGAGGUAUCAGAAGUGCGAAUGCUGACAUAAGUAACGAUAAAGCGGGUGAAAAGCCCGCUCGCCGGAAGACCAAGGGUUCCUGUCCAACGUUAAUCGGGGCAGGGUGAGUCGACCCCUAAGGCGAGGCCGAAAGGCGUAGUCGAUGGGAAACAGGUUAAUAUUCCUGUACUUGGUGUUACUGCGAAGGGGGGACGGAGAAGGCUAUGUUAGCCGGGCGAUGGUUGUCCCGGUUUAAGCAUGUAGGCUGGUUAUCCAGGCAAAUCCGGAUAAUCAAGGCUGAGGUGUGAUGACGAGGCACUACGGUGCUGAAGUAACAAAUGCCCUGCUUCCAGGAAAAGCCUCUAAGCAUCAGGUAACAUCAAAUCGUACCCCAAACCGACACAGGUGGUCAGGUAGAGAAUACCAAGGCGCUUGAGAGAACUCGGGUGAAGGAACUAGGCAAAAUGGUGCCGUAACUUCGGGAGAAGGCACGCUGGUGUGUAGGUGAAGCCCCUGCGGGUGGAGCUGAGACCAGUCGAAGAUACCAGCUGGCUGCAACUGUUUAUUAAAAACACAGCACUGUGCAAACACGAAAGUGGACGUAUACGGUGUGACGCCUGCCCGGUGCCGGAAGGUUAAUUGAUGGGGUUAUCCGUAAGGAGAAGCUCUUGAUCGAAGCCCCGGUAAACGGCGGCCGUAACUAUAACGGUCCUAAGGUAGCGAAAUUCCUUGUCGGGUAAGUUCCGACCUGCACGAAUGGCGUAAUGAUGGCCAGGCUGUCUCCACCCGAGACUCAGUGAAAUUGAACUCGCUGUGAAGAUGCAGUGUACCCGCGGCAAGACGGAAAGACCCCGUGAACCUUUACUAUAGCUUGACACUGAACAUUGAGCCUUGAUGUGUAGGAUAGGUGGGAGGCUUUGAAGCGUGGACGCCAGUCUGCGUGGAGCCAACCUUGAAAUACCACCCUUUAAUGUUUGAUGUUCUAACGUUGGCCCCUGACCGGGGUUGCGGACAGUGUCUGGUGGGUAGUUUGACUGGGGCGGUCUCCUCCCAAAGCGUAACGGAGGAGCACGAAGGUUAGCUAAUCCUGGUCGGACAUCAGGAGGUUAGUGCAAUGGCAUAAGCUAGCUUGACUGCGAGCGUGACGGCGCGAGCAGGUGCGAAAGCAGGUCAUAGUGAUCCGGUGGUUCUGAAUGGAAGGGCCAUCGCUCAACGGAUAAAAGGUACUCCGGGGAUAACAGGCUGAUACCGCCCAAGAGUUCAUAUCGACGGCGGUGUUUGGCACCUCGAUGUCGGCUCAUCACAUCCUGGGGCUGAAGUAGGUCCCAAGGGUAUGGCUGUUCGCCAUUUAAAGUGGUACGCGAGCUGGGUUUAGAACGUCGUGAGACAGUUCGGUCCCUAUCUGCCGUGGGCGCUGGAGAAUUGAGGGGGGCUGCUCCUAGUACGAGAGGACCGGAGUGGACGCAUCACUGGUGUUCGGGUUGUCAUGCCAAUGGCACUGCCCGGUAGCUAAAUGCGGAAGAGAUAAGUGCUGAAAGCAUCUAAGCACGAAACUUGCCCCGAGAUGAGUUCUCCCUGAGACUUUAAGUCUCCUGAAGGAACGUUGAAGACGACGACGUUGAUAGGCCGGGUGUGUAAGCGCAGCGAUGCGUUGAGCUAACCGGUACUAAUGAACCGUGAGGCUUAACCUU
rnacentral:rRNA from 1 species